rnacentral:rRNA from 1 species
GAUGAACGCUGGCGGCGUGCCUAAUACAUGCAAGUCGAGCGAACAGACGAGGAGCUUGUUCCUCUGACGUUAGCGGCGGACGGGUGAGUAACACGUGGAUAACCUACCUAUAAGACUGGGAUAAUUUCGGGAAACCGGAGCUAAUACCGGAUAAUAUAUUGUACCGCAUGGUUCAAUAGUGAAAGACGGUUUUGCUGUCACUUAUAGAUGGUUCCGCGUCGCAUUAGCUAGUUGGUAAGGUAACGGCUUACCAAGGCGACGAUGCGUAGCCGAUCUGAGAGGAUGAUCAGCCACACUGGAACUGAGACACGGUCCAGACUCCUACGGGAGGCAGCAGUAGGGAAUAUUCGGCAAUGGGCGAAAGCCUGACGGAGCAACGCCGCGUGAGUGAUGAAGGUCUUCGGGUCGUAAAGCUCUGUUAUUAGGGAAGAAAAGAUGUGUAAUUAACUAUGCACGUCUUGACGGUACCUAAUCAGAAAGCCACGGCUAACUACGUG